AGUGAACGCUGGCGGUAGGCCUAACACAUGCAAGUCGAACGGCAGCACAGUAAUAGCUUGCUCUUACGGGUGGCGAGUGGCGGACGGGUGAGGAAUACAUCGGAAUCUACUUUUUCGUGGGGGAUAACGUAGGGAAACAUACGCUAAUACCGCAUAAUACCAACGUGUGGAAUCAUGGGAUCUUCCGACCUUGCGCGAUUGUAUGAGCCGAUGUCGGAUUAGCUAGUUGGCGGGGUAAAGGCCCACCAAGGCGACGAUCCGUAGCUGGUCUGAGAGGAUGAUCAGCCACACUGGAACUGAGACACGGUCCAGACUCCUACGGGAGGCAGCAGUGGGGAAUAUUGGACAAUGGGCGCAAGCCUGAUCCAGCCAUACCGCGUGGGUGAAGAAGGCCUUCGGGUUGUAAAGCCCUUUUGUUGGGAAAGAAAAGCAGCAGGUUAAUACCCCGCUGUUCUGACGGUACCAAAAGAAUAAGCACCGGCUAACUUCGUG
rnacentral:rRNA from 1 species